rnacentral:rRNA from 1 species
GCAAAGGUAGCAUAAUCAGUAGCUUUUUAAUUGGAGGCUAGUAUGAAUGGUUGGAUGAGGGACAUACUGUCUUUAUUUUAUCUAAAGAAUUUAACUUUUAAGUGAAAAGGCUUAAAUUUUUUGGAGGGACGAUAAGACCCUAUAAAACUUAAUAUAGUUUUGUUUAAAUUAGGAAUUUUUUUUAAAUUUAAUCUUAACUUGGCUAUAUUUCGUUGGGGAAACGUUGAUAUAAAAAUUAAUUGUUUAUAAAAUUUAAUAAUUAUUAUUAGUUUAUGAUCCUUUCAUAAGGAUUAAAAGGUUAAGUUACUUUAGGGAUAACAGCGUAAUUUUCUUUGAGAGUUCUUAUCGACAAGAUUAGUUGCGACCUCGAUGUUGAAUUAAAAUUUUUAGUUGGUGUAGCCGCUUACUUAAUAGGUCUGUUCGACCUUUAAAAUUUUACAUGAUUUGAGUUCAAACCGGUGUGAGCCAGG